rnacentral:rRNA from 1 species
GCCAGACUCCUACGGGAGGCAGCAGUCGGGAAUAUUGCGCAAUGGCGGAAACUCUGACGCAGUGACGCCGCGUAUAGGAAGAAGGUUUUCGGAUUGUAAACUAUUGUCGUUAGGGAAGAUACAAGACAGUACCUAAGGAGGAAGCCCCGGCUAACUAUGUGCCAGCAGCCGCGGUAAUACAUAGGGGGCAAGCGUUAUCCGGAUUUACUGGGUGUAAAGGGAGCGCAGGCGGCACGGCAAGCCUGAUGUGAAAGCCCGCGGCCCAACCGCGGGACUGCAUUGGGAACUACCGGGCUGGAGUGCCGGAGAGGUAGGCGGAAUUCCUAGUGUAGCGGUGAAAUGCGUAGAUAUUAGGAGGAACACCAGUGGCGAAGGCGGCCUACCGGACUGCGACUGACGUUGAGGCCCGAAAGCGUGGGGAGCAAACAGGAUUAGAUACCCUGGUAU